GUCGAGCGAACGGACGAGAAGCUUGCUUCUCUGAUGUUAGCGGCGGACGGGUGAGUAACACGUGGAUAACCUACCUAUAAGACUGGGAUAACUUCGGGAAACCGGAGCUAAUACCGGAUAAUAUUUUGAACCGCAUGGUUCAAAAGUGAAAGACGGUCUUGCUGUCACUUAUAGAUGGAUCCGCGCUGCAUUAGCUAGUUGGUAAGGUAACGGCUUACCAAGGCAACGAUGCAUAGCCGACCUGAGAGGGUGAUCGGACACACUGGAACUGAGACACGGUCCAGACUCCUACGGGAGGCAGCAGUAGGGAAUCUUCCGCAAUGGGCGAAAGCCUGACGGAGCAACGCCGCGUGAGUGAUGAAGGUCUUCGGAUCGUAAAACUCUGUUAUUAGGGAAGAACAUAUGUGUAAGUAACUGUGCACAUCUUGACGGUACCUAACCAGAAAGCCACGGCUAACUACGUGCCAGCAGCCGCGGUAAUACGUAGGUGGCAAGCGUUAUCCGGAAUUAUUGGGCGUAAAGCGCGCGUAGGCGGUUUUUUAAGUCUGAUGUGAAGCCCACGGCUCAACCGUGGAGGGUCAUUGGAAACUGGAAAACUUGAGUGCAGAAGAGGAAAGUGGAAUUCCAUGUGUAGCGGUGAAAUGCGCAGAGAUAUGGAGGAACACCAGUGGCGAAGGCGACUUUCUGGUCUG
rnacentral:rRNA from 1 species